GCCGCGGUAAUUCCAGCUCCAAUAGCGUAUAUUAACGUUGUUGCAGUUAAAAAGCUCGUAGUUGAAGUUGGAUGAGUAUUUGAGUUGAAUUUUCGAAUUGGAUUCAAAUACUUAUCAUUUCUAGUAGUUAUGCUUGGGUAUUCAAUUACUUGAGUAUGAUAGCUAGUCAUUUACUGUGAGAAAAUUAGAGUGUUUAAAGCAGACGUUUGUUUGGAUAGAUUAGCAUGGAAUAAUAAUGAUAUGCUUGAUUUCAUGUAUUGGUUAUGAAAGAUAGCAAGAUUAAAAGGGACAGUUGGGGGUAUUCAUAUUCAAUAGUUAGAGGUGAAAUUCUCGGAUUUAUGGAAGAUGAACAAAUGCGAAAGCAUUUACCAAGGAUGUUUUCAUUAAUCAAGAGCGAAAG
rnacentral:rRNA from 1 species